AGAUGUAUCUAUCUUUUAGGGAGCUCAUUCCCUAAGAAACUUCACAGUUAAGCGUGUUUGGCUGGGAGUAGUAUUAGGAUGGGCGACCUCAUGGGAAGUUUUCCAGGGUGCGCAUG
rnacentral:rRNA from 1 species